UUGAAAGGGAAACGAUUGAAGUCAGUCGUACCUGUGGGUAAUCAGCCUUUUGGGUGUGAUUUUGUGGAGUGUGAGGAGUUAAACGCCUUCAUGCCUGCAUAUUCCUGCACUUUGGGUGUAUUUACCCGUGUGGUAAGUUAACAUCAAUUUCGGUGGUCAUAAAAUGGCUGGAGGAAUGUAGCUUCGAUCUUGUAUUGAAGUGUUAUAGCCUUCGGUAGAUGUGAUGAUCGGGAUUGAGGAUUGCAACGGAUACCCUUCGGGGCUACCUGUCUGAUCUCUGAUCGCUGCUCUGGUGCCGAAAGCUUGCUUACGGUUAUCAAAGUCGAUGGUCAAUAGGUUAGAAUGGGUUAAAUUCGUUAAGGAUGUUGACGUA
rnacentral:rRNA from 1 species